AUGGUAGCCUUGGGUAGGACAAAGAGAAUCCAGAAACCACCAUUGUGUUCAGCAGCACUGAGUAUUUAUAAAUAUACGAAUAGUUGUGAGAAGGAAGCAGCAAAGGAGGAAAUAACCAUUUUGGAAUACCCUUUACACUUCACAAACACCUUCAAAGAGUCUUUGGUCCUGUUCAUUGCUCUGGCUCCACCUCAGCUCGUUCUCCUCUGGAGGCAAAGUUCCCGUAAAUACAGUAUUACCAUGACGUUGCUGUUUUGUAAGAGCUCGGUGCUUCAGCCGCUUGUGGAACCCUGGCCUGACUCUCCCAGCUCUGCUGGCGACUCCUCCGUCCCUCAGGAAGGCCAGCCAUGGCCCCGCGUCUGCCUGGCUGCUUUUGAUGCCCUCCCCCAGGACUCUCUGAGGCAGUGACUCAGCAUGACUCAGCAACCCAACUUUUUAGGGGAGCCGGGGUAUUUUGCCACACAACCGACAUAUGGGAAACAUGCACGCUGUUUAGCAAAAUCAUUGGAAAUGAAACACACCAGGAGGAGGAAAGGCCCAGAUUUCCUCACACCCAAAGUGCAGAGACCAGCUCAAGGAGGCGGAGGACAAGCGGAAAGAGCCGUUUUCUCCCUGGAACCAAAAAUGGAGAGCAGUUGCUCAGAGGGCGGCCUGGGAGGAUGAAUACGCCGUCACCUGGGGGGCUUCUGUGUCGGUGGGGCUGACGGAGAGUCUCCUUCUUGGGUGAGACAUGGAACAGCCAAGAGGAGCCCGCUCCAGGGUUUGAUGUAAUUGCCACCAUGGCUGUGUCAGCCUCAUUUGUUUCUCCGGGAAAGGUACAGGCUAUUCCAAAUUUUUAAAAGUUUAGUGAACCUUUAGCUUCUUUUUAAGUGGCACGGAAGAAUGGCUGUUUAAAAAGGACAUUGUGGCCACUGACACUUGGCAGUCUCUAGAAAUGGGAUUUGAAUGCUGCGAAUCCUGUGGUGAGGGCCAUUCUGGCGCUUCUCCUUGGAAAGCGGUUCGAGCUCCCUGGCUAUUUUCCCUGGGCCGCGUUUCUAGGGUCAUUGUGUUAAGCCUUCAGUUAAAGAACAGCCUCUUUGAAGCAGCUGGUUUGGACUGGCCUCCUCGGCCCGGGAUGGUUUCUCGGUAUUCGGUGUUCACGUGACAAAGAACAUACACUGGAUUCCUCGCCUUUUAGAGUUUGGUGUUUUCUUCAGCUGAAGUAGCUUGUUAUGCUUGAGAAAGAUUUUGCUUUUUAGGUCAUAAAGUGGAGCUUGAAGACUGGAAGAGGGCUUUUUUUGUUUUGUUUUAAUGUCUUGACUCUGCUGAACGUUUGAAGGGCCUGGGAGUAAGGACUGAGAAACAGAGAUUUGCAAGUGGGGAGGUUUUGAGGGGUGUCUCCUGGUCCUAAGGGAGCAGUAUGGAACAU
rnacentral:lncRNA from 1 species